UCUUCUUGUAUAAUAUAUGAAGUAUAACCUGCCCACUGAUUUAAUUGAAGGGCCGCGGUAAUUUGACCGUGCAAAGGUAGCAUAAUCAUUAGUCUCUUAAUUAGGGGCUGGAAUGAAUGGUUGGACGAGAUGUGCACUGUCUUAUUUUGAAGUGUAGAAUUUAAUUAUUAAGUUAAAAAGCUUAAAUAUUUUAAUGGGACGAGAAGACCCUAUAGAGUUUAAUAUUUACAUUGAUGUUAAUGGUUUGUAUUAUUUGGUUUAUUAAUGUUAAUUAUUUUGUUGGGGUGAUAGGAAGAUUUAAUUAACUCUUUUUUUUGUUUAAUAUAGAUAUAUAGAAUUGUUGAUCCAUUCAUAUUGAUUAUAAGACUAAAUUACCUUAGGGAUAACAGCGUAAUCUUUUUUGAGAGUUCAAAUCGACAAAAGGGGUUGCGA
rnacentral:rRNA from 1 species